AGUGUCUUCUCUCCAUCAGCACUGAGCUCCCAGCUAGACUUCAGCCAUGAAGUUUCUCUACCUGCUCUUUGCUCUCUUUUUCCUGGUGCUCCAAAGCUCUCCAGGAUUCACCCAGCUCAUCAAUGACCCCUUUGCUUGUAGACGUGCUGGGGGAAUCUGCAGCCAUUUCUGUAUCGGCAUUUUGAGAGCAAUUGGAAGGUGUGGUUUUGGGCACAGUUGCUGUAGAAGGUUUUAUGCAGAGAUGCUGUCGCAGUAGAUGGGGAGGGUGAGUGAUGGCAGCAGAGAUUGUCAAUGCAGGAUCUCUGGGAAUCUGGCAGCAGAUGCCUUGCUUCUAAAAUCCUUGGACGCUUUUCAUCCGGGCUGCAAAGAAUCUCGCAAGCUGGAAAAAAUCCACAAGGGAGCCCUUGUGUCACCCCUAAUAGCUUGUUCUUCUCUUUUUAAUAAAAGUAGCUGCUGG